rnacentral:lncRNA from 1 species
UUCGAGCUGCAGGACCUGCUCAAGGCGACGGCGGAGGUGCUGGGCGGCAACGGCGGCUCCAACCUCGGGCUGUGCUACCGGGCGACCCUGACCGGCGGACAGUCCAUCGUGGUGAAGCGGUUCAAGGAGAUGAACCGGGUGGGCAGGGAGGAGUUCGAGGAGCACAUGCGGCGGCUGGGGCGGCUCGCCCACCCCAAUCUCCUCCCGCUCGUCGCCUACUACUACCGCAAGGAGGAGAAGCUCCUGAUGCACGACUACGUCCAGAACAAGAGCCUCGCCCACCUCCUCCACGGCGAGGGGCGCGGGGUGAAGAGGGCGGUGGUGCACUGGACGACGCGGCUCAAGAUCAUCAAGGGCGUGGCGAGGGCGCUGAGCUACAUGUACGACGAGCUGCCGAUGCUGACGGUGCCGCACGGCCACCUCAAGUCCUCCAACAUCCUGCUGGACGAGCGCUUCGAGCCGCUGCUCACCGACUACGCGCUGGUGCCGGUGAUGAACCAGUCGCACGCCGCGCAGCUCAUGGUGGCCUUCAAGUCGCCCGAGCGGAAGCAGUUCGGCAAGUCGUCCAAGAAGAGCGACGUCUGGUGCCUCGGCCUCCUCAUCCUCGAGAUCGUCACGGGGCGGCCGCCGUCCUACGACCUCAAGGCGUCGGCGGCGCCGGAGCAGGAGAAGCAGAACCCAAACGACCUCGCCGUUGUCGUUGCGUCGACGCCGGAAGAGGAGUGGCUACGGGCGGUGGUGGACCCGGACCUCAGGUUCGAGGACGCGGCGGAGAAGGAGGAGGCGGUGAAGCUGAUCAAGAUCGGCUUGGCGUGCUGCGAGGGCAACGUGGACAGCCGGUCGGAGCUCAAGGACGCCGUGGAGGCGAUCGAGGAGCUCAAGGGCAAAGAACGCGGCGACAGGGAGGACAACUCCUUCUACUCGUCGAUAAGCGACGGCGCCGAGCGCGACGAGGACUUCACCAACGUCGCCAUCCAUUGAUCGGUCGUCCAUGGAUCCAUGCAUGCUUGCUCACACAGGGAAAUCAGGACCGUCUAACCACCCAACUAAGCACGCUCCAUGUAACACGCACGCACGUAUAUACAUGGAGCCAACACUACACAUGGACCUAGUACGUACUGAUCUGUACUUUACCUUAAUUCGAUGUUCAGAUGUAGCAUUAAUUUGGUAAUUGAAUCUUCUCUCAGUUCUUCAUCUUUAGCUAAUUGUUUGAUUAGCUGGUCUCAGUGUUCAUCUCAUGUUCUCGAACUCUGGAUUGGGGAUUCAGAAUUACAGAACAUUUUUGGGUUGAGUUUUAGUAUAGAUCCUGUUCACAGUUGCAAAAUUCAGGGCCUUCUGAUUCACCUAGUUCUAAAAACACAGGCAAUAGGAAAAACACAAGAUUAUGAUAAUUCAGUUUUUAUAAUCUAUACCGUCUUCAAACAGGACAGCUUAUGUGGUAGAUUAUAAAAAAUAAAUG